rnacentral:lncRNA from 1 species
CCGGCCGGCCUGAUGAGCCAGAUGGACCCGAGAUCGUCUCCCAUGUACGGCGGCGGGUCCAACAAAAACAAGACCAAAGCAGAGCAAGACAUGGAGGAUGAAGAGCGCAACGGCGGCGGUGGCGGUGGCGAAGAGCCCCUCGCAAUGGCGCAUCCCGAGCACAACAUGAACCCCGAGCAUAACAUGAACAUGCCGCCGCCCCACCCGAUGGGCGGGUGGCAGCCCGGCUUGAUGCGGCAGAUGGACUCGAGGUCCUCCAGCAUCGACAUCAACUCGAUCCGCGAGUAGCUCUGUUGUCGCCCGCCGGAGAGACCACUCCUCGACUCCGGAUCAGAUCAGAUGAGAUGAGAUCGUCACUUUUAGCAACCACACAGCAAGCAUCGUGUACCGGGCCUACUGUAGAUUGCGGUGUUGGGGAUUGCUGCUGCUGUGGCUGUCGUGUUAGGAAUGGAACCCUGCAUAUCGAUUGAUCAUAUUAUUGGUCAUUGUACUGCGAUGUUGUAUUAGAGAAGAGAUGACGAUGGAUCCUACCUACCUAUACAGGAAGAGAACGGAGAAAAACCUGGGUAUUUUAGUUAUGGAAUAAUGUUGGG